ensembl:lncRNA novel transcript
ACUGAGGAUUGGGGGUCUUUGGAGCUCUUGGACCUGAAGAACGAUUAAGUUUUUCUCCCUUCAGAGAGCCAAGAGAUGGGGUCUUGCUGUGUUGCCCAGGGUGGAGUGCAGUGGCUAUUCACAGGUGUGAUCAUAGCUACUAUAGCCUCAAACCCUGGGUUCAAGUGAGUCCUUUGAACUAGAACAUUGGCCUUUUCUGGUUCUGCAGAAGCUUCCAGCCUUCAGAUUUGAACUGGGACACUGGCUCUGCAGAUUUUGGACUUGCCAGCCUUCAUAAUUGUAACCUACACUCCUGUCAUUUGUGGAAUGAUUGCUGGAGCCAGAGGCCAGGAAGAAGUUCAUGAGCCUGAGAGAAAAAGCAAGGAUUUCCAGUUCUACCCUACUGAAGUUCAGCUGUCAAACCAAGGGCCCAGACAGGUCUGAUGGGCCUGGGCAGGGUGUGGCCUGGACAGGUCUGAUGGCUGUUCCCUAAUGGAUAUUUCCCUUGGAGAAGUGAUGAGGAAGUGUGAGCGGAGCUCACUUCAAUUGGCUGAUUACCCUGUUAUACCAUGGUUGUGCACUAGUGGAAGCGGGACGUCUCUGGAGGGGUGUGUCAGCAUGUACCUACAACAGCGGCAGUGAUGGCAGCCAGCUGGGACCUGAAACACAGAGGGACCCUGAGGCCAGUACUCACGGUGCCUGCGUAGUGAACCAGCUCGAAGUGGACCUCGGGCCCCUUGCUCUUGCCCCCCUUGGGCUUCAGGAAGUUGCUGGACUUGCCCAGGUGGUUGUCGUACAGGGCUGCCUUGAACGUGGCAUCGGUGGCUUUGGGGAAGACGCACUGUUCCUCCAAGAUGGAGAAGAUGCCCAUGGGCUGGGAAGGAAGAGAACAGGGUGAUGUUAGAGGAGGUGGCAGGACCCAAAAGAGGACAAACUGGUACUGAGCCCAGGGCCAGUGUAGAGAUGCACCAGACACCCACGUGGGCAUCCAGGAAGCAGGACUCUGUGCAGUGACAUCUGGGAACAGUGCCUGGUGCUCCAUGACCUUGUCAUCAAACACCAUGGCCAUUAAGACUUGAAAGAGGCUGAAAUCAUCGAGUCCAACAGAAGGGAAGACUGAGAUCUGAAGGGGCCAGAUAGCUCCCCAAAUGCUAAUCCCACCUAAACAGUGGCCCCUGGCAAGCUUGGCCUUCUGAAAAAUGGGGAAGUCAAUGCCACCUGUGCUCUCUGCUUUUUUUUUUUAAUUUAAUUUAUUUAUUUUGAGACAGAGUCUCGCUCUGUCGCCCAGGCUGGAGUGCAGUGGCACAAUCUCGGCUCACUGCAACCUCCGCCUUCCAUGUUCAAGUGAUUCUCCUCCCUCAGCCUCCUGAGUAGCUGGGAUUACAGGUGCCCGCCACCACACCUGGCUAAUUUUUGUAUUAGAGAUGAGGUUUCACCAUGUUGGCCAGGCUGGUCUCAAAACUCCUGACCUCAGGUGAUCCACCCACCUCAGCCUCCCAAAUUGCUGGGAUUACAGGUGUGAACCACCAUGCCUGGCCACAACACACAUUCUUGAAGGGGACCAUUUGCUAAAACCUUCCAUGUGGAUGUGGUUAUAGGUAAAACUAUUAUAUUGCCUGGGUCAGAGCGUGACUCUGCCACUCACAGGUUGUGGGACAUUGGACAAGGAAGUUCCCUUCUCUGUGCCUCAAUGUUCCCAUCUCUGUGCCUCAAUGUUCCCAUCUGUGAAAUGGGUGUAAUAAAAGUAUCCCCUCCCCC